GUCCCGCCUGCCCAGUGAAACUUUCAACGGCCGCGGUACCCUAACCGUGCAAAGGUAGCGCAAUCACCUGUCCCUUAAUUGAGGACUAGUAUGAACGGCUAAAUGAGGGCUCACCUGUCUCCUGCGACCAAUCAAUGAACUUGAUCCUUCAGUACAAAAGCUGAAAUAUACACAUAAGACGAAAAGACCCUAUGGAGCUUUAAACCACUAUACUACUAAAACUAACCAAAACCGUGUCCCCUAGUAUAAGCUUUCAGUUGGGGCAACUACGGAGCAAAACAAAAACUCCACGACAAACGCCUAACACGCGCAAACCCCAGGCCGCCAAGCCGAACAUAUCUCGCCCAGAUCCAGUCCGACUGAGCAACGAACCAAGUUACCCUAGGGAUAACAGCGCCAUCUUCCCCCAAGAGCCCAUAUCCACGGGGAGGCUUACGACCUCGAUGUUGGAUCAGGACCCCCCGGCGGUGCAGCCGCUGCCAAAGGUUCGUUUGUUCAACGACUAACGUCCU
rnacentral:rRNA from 1 species